rnacentral:rRNA from 1 species
AUUGAACGCUGGCGGCAUGCCUUACACAUGCAAGUCGAACGGCAGCACGGGGCAACCUGGUGGCGAGUGGCGAACGGGUGAGUAAUGCAUCGGAACGUACCUUUCAGUGGGGGAUAACGUAGCGAAAGUUACGCUAAUACCGCAUAUUCUGUGAGCAGGAAAGCAGGGGAUCGCAAGACCUUGCGCUGAUUGAGCGGCCGAUGUCAGAUUAGCUAGUUGGUGAGGUAAAGGCUCACCAAGGCGACGAUCUGUAGCGGGUCUGAGAGGAUGAUCCGCCACAGUGGAACUGAGACACGGUCCAGACUCCUACGGGAGGCAGCAGUGGGGAAUUUUGGACAAUGGGGGCAACCCUGAUCCAGCCAUGCCGCGUGAGUGAAGAAGGCCUUCGGGUUGUAAAGCUCUUUCGGCCGGGAAGAAAUCCCACGGGCUAAUACCCUGUGUGGAUGACGGUACCGGAAUAAGAAGCACCGGCUAACUACGUGCCAGCAGCCGCGGUAAUAC